CCAAUAGCGUAUAUUAAAGUUGUUGCAGUUAAAAAGCUCGUAGUUGAAUUUCGGGGUCAGCAGGUUGGUCGUGCCAAUGGUAUGCACUGGCCUUGGUGAUUCCUCCCUCUUGUAGAACCGUAAUGCCAUUAAGUUGGUGUUGCGGGGAAACAGGACUGUUACUUUGAAAAAAUUAGAGUGUUUAAAGCAGGCUAACGCCUGAAUACAUUAGCAUGGAAUAAUGAAAUAGGACGAUCGAUCCUAUUUUGUUGGUUUCUAGGAUUGACGUAAUGAUUAAUAGGGAUAGUUGGGGGCAUUAGUAUUCAAUUGUCAGAGGUGAAAUUCUUGGAUUUAUUGAAGACUAACUACUGCGAAAGCAUUUGCCAAGGAUGUUUUCAUUAAUCAAGAACGAAAGUUAGGGGAUCGAAGACGAUCAGAUACCGUCGUAGUCUUAACCAUAAACUAUGCCGACUAGGGAUCGGAUGAUGUUAAUUUUUUAAUGACUCAUUCGGCGCCUUACG
rnacentral:rRNA from 1 species